rnacentral:rRNA from 1 species
AUACGGAGGAUCCGAGCGUUGUCCGGAUUUACUGGGCGUAAAGGAUGCGUAGGCGGAUAUUUAAGUGAGAUGUGAAAUUCCCAGGCUUAACUUGGGAGCUGCAUUUCAAACUGGAUAUCUAGAGUGCGGGAGAGGAGAAUGGAAUUCCUAGUGUAGCGGUGAAAUGCGUAGAGAUUAGGAAGAACACCAGUGGCGAAGGCGAUUCUCUGGACCGUAACUGACGCUGAGGCAUGAAAGCGUGGGUAGCAAACAGGAUUAGAUACCCUGGUAGUCCACGCCGUAAACGAUGAGUACUAGGUGUAGGAGGUAUCGACUCCUUCUGUGCCGCAGUUAACACAAUAAGUACUCCGCCUGGGAAGUACGAUCGCAAGAUUAA